AGAGGUGCAGCCGAGGCCGAGGCCGCAGGCUAUUCAUGACGCUGAUGAGGAAGGAGCACGGAGAGGGCAGCUCAGCAGGCUGAGGAGCAGGUUAGGAGGACACUGACAUACCAAAGAGGACGGGACCCAAGGAUAAUAAAGCCAUCAGGAUCCUGUAACGACUGCACACAUGCACGUAGGAGUCCUUGCAUCAACUUCCGGAAGGGGCUGCUCAGCCAAAGCUGGAGGGAUCCUGGGCUCAGUUUUGCUACUGCUGCUGGGAUGAGGAGUAUCAGCCCUCAAAAUAUGCACAUAGGAGAAACCAGUGUUGGUCGAACAGACCAGAAAUAAAUGGCUGCUUUCCUGUCAGUCCUGUUACCCUCUCCUCCUCCUCAUAUAUAUGACCUGGAGAAAAAAUAAAUAUUUUUUUGUCUCAUUUGCAUGCAACAGUUGUCACUACAACAAAACCAAAAGUAUUCAAACUUCACUGUGCUGAACAGAUGAUUUUAUCAUGGUAUUUGCAGUUUGUACUAAGCUUGAAACCGCAAAUUCCACUGUAAAUCAUCUAAUGUAGCAUGAUUUUUAUUUGGUUGGGGUUUUUUUUUGCAUUUAGUUCUCCUCCUUUGUAAACACAUCAGUUCUAUGAAUAAAGUGAAGCAGAACUGCACAACA